AUCUUAAGAGGGGGGUCUUGCCCCACCUCCCUAUCCUUGGAAGGUAUUUCAAUGAGGAUGCAUUUGACUUCAUGUAGGAGGAAAUCCAACCAACACUGGUUAAACCAUAUGAAAUGUAUUACUGACUUUAGGAGUACAGAGGAUGGGUGGUCCCAGGUUCAUUAAGUGGUCCAACAACAUCAGGAUUCCAGGUGCUGUGGAUCAUGUUUAUACAUGUCAUCUCUGGACUUGUGCCUUUGUACAAGAUGCUGGAGGGAUCAGCACAGUGGGCAUUCCACGUGAUUUUCCACAUUGGCAGCAUCUGGUGAUUGGAGGGGCCAUCUACUUCCAUUACUUGCAUUCUCUUUUUAUUUUUGUCUCAGAGGGACUGUGCAACCAUAGUGUUCUCAGUACCUAAGGCAGACAUUUCCUGAAACUAGCAGAGAAUGUGGAUAAAUACAAAAUGUUGAGGUUUUGCCUACAAUGAUCCUGUAGGUACCUCUA